GCUAGAACAGUUCAUUACAUUACACUUACACGAAUACGUUAAUAAAAUUGUGAUCCACCGUAUAGGAUCAUGCCUUAAUUGUCAUGACCCGGGUUGUAGCCAGAGUCUCUUGAAGGGAGAGCGUGAGUUUGCGUAUAGAUCUAUAAUGGAUUAACUAUCCUACACCUUGAUGCUAGCCAUAGUGGGACCUGCAGGUCUGCGGGUGCCAAACGUCAUACCUUAUUUUCGACUAUACGUUGUCGUUGUAACCAGUCUAUAGUAUGAGUUUGUGUAUAGAUAUAUACUGGAUUGACUAUCCUACACCUUGCUGCUAGCUACAGCGGGACCUGCAGGUCUGCGGGUGCCAAACGUCAUACCUUAUUUUCGACUAUACGUUGU
rnacentral:lncRNA from 1 species